GACCAUUAUUUUGUGUUACUCAUACUAAUAGAGCCACAACUGACAGCUGUUUUUUAGGUAAAAGGAUCCUGGAGAACCUACAGAUGAAGAAGUGGCAUCUACUUCGACAGAAAUGAAUCGGAGUAGUGGCAAUUUAGGGAAUGAGUUGGAUUCACCUUCAGCAGUUAUGGAUGCCAAGAAAUGAUGACCGGAAUCGAGGAAAGAUUCUUUGAUGAAGAGAGCACUGGGAAAAAUCUGAAGUAUUCAGUUACAGACUUUCAGAAUGACAUUUUCAGGAAGGUUUAUUAACAUUACAGCUGGG